rnacentral:rRNA from 1 species
GAUGAACGCUGGCGGCGUGCCUAAUACAUGCAAGUCGAGCGAACAGACGAGGAGCUUGCUCCUCUGACGUUAGCGGCGGACGGGUGAGUAACACGUGGAUAACCUACCUAUAAGACUGGGAUAACUUCGGGAAACCGGAGCUAAUACCGGAUAAUAUAUUGAACCGCAUGGUUCAAUAGUGAAAGACGGUUUUGCUGUCACUUAUAGAUGGAUCCGCGCCGCAUUAGCUAGUUGGUAAGGUAACGGCUUACCAAGGCAACGAUGCGUAGCCGACCUGAGAGGGUGAUCGGCCACACUGGAGCUGAGACACGGUCCAGACUCCUACGGGAGGCAGCUGUAGGGAAUCUUCCGCAAUGGGCGAAAGCCUGACGGAGCAACGCCGCGUGAGUGAUGAAGGUCUUCGGAUCGUAAAACUCUGUUAUUAGGGAAGAACAAAUGUGUAAGUAACUAUGCACGUCUUGACGGUACCGAAUCAGAAAGCCACGGCUAACUACGU